rnacentral:rRNA from 1 species
AACGAACGCUGGCGGCAGGCUUAACACAUGCAAGUCGAGCGCCCAGCAAUGGGAGCGGCGGACGGGUGAGUAACACGUGGGAACAUGCCUUUCGGUACGGAACAACGCAGGGAAACUUGCGCUAAUACCGUAUGCGCCGGAAACGGGAAAGAUUUAUCGCCGAAAGAUUGGCCCGCGUCUGAUUAGCUUGUUGGUGAGGUAACGGCUCACCAAGGCAUCGAUCAGUAGCUGGUUUGAGAGAGCGACCAGCCACACUGGGACUGCGACACGGCCCAGACUCCUACGGGAGGCAGCAGUGGGGAAUCUUGGACAAUGGGGGAAACCCUGAUCCAGCCAUGCCGCGUGAGUGAUGAAGGCCCUAGGGUUGUAAAACUCUUUCGGCGGGGACGAUAAUGACGGUACCCGCAGAAGAAGCUCCGGCUAACUUCGUGCCAGCCGCCGCAGUAA